rnacentral:rRNA from 1 species
GAUGAACGCUGGCGGCGUGCCUAAUACAUGCAAGUCGAGCGAACGGAUGAGGAGCUUGCUCCUUUGACGUUAGCGGCGGACGGGUGAGUAACACGUGGAUAACCUACCUAUAAGACUGGGAUAACUUCGGGAAACCGGAGCUAAUACCGGAUAAUAUUUCGAACCGCAUGGUUCAAAAGUGAAAGACGGUCUUGCUGUCACUUAUAGAUGGACCCGCGCUGCAUUAGCUAGUUGGUAAGGUAACGGCUUACCAAGGCAACGAUGCGUAGCCGACCUGAGAGGGUGAUCGGCCACACUGGAACUGAGACACGGUCCAGACUCCUACGGGAGGCAGCAGUAGGGAAUCUUCCGCAAUGGGCGAAAGCCUGACGGAGCAACGCCGCGUGAGUGAUGAAGGUCUUCGGAUCGUAAAACUCUGUUAUUAGGGAAGAACAUAUGUGUAAGUAACUGUGCACGUCUUGACGGUACCUAAUCAGAAAGCCACGGCUAACUACGUG